rnacentral:tRNA from 1 species
AAAAUUUUAAGUUAAAUAAACUAAAGUAUUUCAAAUACUUCAAUAAAACAUUUUUAAAUUUUA